rnacentral:rRNA from 1 species
CAGCCGUAAACUAUGCGCGUUAGGUGUAUCGGUGACCACGAGUUACCGAGGUGCCGAAGGGGAACCGUGAAACGUGCCGCCUGGGAAGUACGGUCGCAAGGCUGAAACUUAAAGGAAUUGGCGGGGGAGCACCACAACAGGUGGAGCCUGCGGUUUAAUUGGACUCAACGCCGGACAACUCACCGGGAACGACAGCAAUAUGUAGGCCAGGCUGAAGACCUUGCCUGAAUCGCUGAGAGGGAGGUGCAUGGCGUAGUCGUGU